AUGGAACUGGAAGAGGUCGUGCUACACCGCCAGCAGCCAGCAGAGGGGGCAGCAGUGCACAGUGAGAUUAGCCAAGCUGGAGAACUCAGUUACCCAGAAUUCUCCAGGCUGAUUAACCUGAACUGCCUGCACCUGCCAGGAAGGUUACUUCAGACCAACACUGGAGGUGCUGCUUCAUCACCUCUUUGUGGAGGGGAGACUGGUAUGUACAGCAGAGGAAUCAUCAGCUGGUUUCUUCUUCUUCUGAUAUCCUCUGUGUCCUAUGUGCAUGGCAUCAGUCUGACCUCAUCUCCAACUGAGGUUAAACCUCCUGGAGCCUCAGUGAAGUUGUCCUGUCAGGUUUCUGGCUAUGCCCUCACUAGCUACAGCACAGGCUGGAUCAGACAGUCUCCAGGACAAGGCUUGGAGUGGAUUUGGAUCAUAUGGGGUAGUGGAAGCAUAGACUCUGGUGAUUCCUUUAAAGCUUGCUUCAGCAUCUCCAGAGACACAAGCAACAAUGUGCUUUACUUGGAUAUCAGGAGCCUGGUGCCAGAAAACACGGCUGUUUAUAACUGUGCACGAGACUCACACUGA